CAGAAUGUUACCUCACUAUCUCUCUUCGACUGUUUCCUGGUCAGGUCAAACAGUCCACCAACAGACGAUAAGGUGCCCUGUUGUUGGAGACCAUACCGUAAGAAAUUCAUGGAAUUUCCCUGGCACUGUUCUCACAAGAGAAACAACUAACUAUCUACAGGAUAAAGCUAGAGAGACUCGGGACAAACAAGACACUGACCUGAAUCUUGAACAAGACACAAUUUUUGUUUCAGAGGACAAGAG
rnacentral:lncRNA from 1 species